AUUGAACGCUGGCGGCAUGCCUAACACAUGCAAGUCGAACGGAGGUAGGGGCAACUCUACUUCAGUGGCGGACGGGUGAGGAAUGCGUCGGAAUCUACCCUAUGGUGGGGGAUAACACAGGGAAACUUGUGCUAAUACCGCAUGAUGUCGAGAGACCAAAGCAGGGGACCGCAAGGCCUUGCGCGAUAGGAUGAGCCGACGCCCGAUUAGCUAGUUGGUAGGGUAAUGGCCUACCAAGGCGACGAUCGGUAGCUGGUCUGAGAGGAUGAUCAGCCACACUGGGACUGAGACACGGCCCAGACUCCUACGGGAGGCAGCAGUGGGGAAUAUUGGACAAUGGGCGAAAGCCUGAUCCAGCAAUGCCGCGUGUGUGAAGAAGGCCUGCGGGUUGUAAAGCACUUUUGUUCGGGAAGAAAACGGAUCGGUUAAUACCCGGUUCGGAUGACGGUACCGAAAGAAUAAGCACCGGCUAACUUCGUGCCAGCAGCCGC
rnacentral:rRNA from 1 species